GGGUGCUCUGGUUGUGACAUCUUUCACCCCAUUGAUUGCCAGGGUUGAUUCAGCUGAUGUGACUGGCUAGGUGGGUGUCUCCUGAAGCCUGGUGCUCAGUCAAAGAGGAAGACCUUCCCUGAAUAGAGGAGGACUGGUUGUCUGUCAAGAGUAUUUGUGUGGCUGUGCCUGUCCUGCUAGAACCUCCAAACAAGCUCCUAAGCAUNACAGUUAACUAUGUCUAAUAGUUUGUUACAACAAUAGAGAUAACAGGGAGUAUAGCAAGAACCUUUGAACAUGUUGUGUGCUGAUGUUGAACA
rnacentral:snRNA from 1 species